AUUUUAGAUGAGAUUAAUGCUACUAUUAUUAAAUCUGGAUCACGGUGGGCUGAUUCUGGAGCAACUAUACAUGUUUUCAAUACCUUGCAAGGAUUCAAGCAGCUAAGGAGAAUAAGUGAUAAUACUAGUUUCAUCUACAUAGGAAAUGAUGACAAGGCAGAGAUUGAAAGAGUUGGAGUUUUUGAAUUAAAGUUGAAUGAUGGAAUAGUUUUUGAUCUAGUUGAAUGUUUGUAUGCUCCUAUCUUAGGAGAAAUUUGUUAUCUGUUUCAAUGUUGGAAAAACUUGGAUAUGAGUUUUAUUGUGGAAAUGGAAGAUUUUUAAUGA